AUUGAACGCUGGCGGCAGGCUUAACACAUGCAAGUCGAGCGAGCGGCGGACGGGUGAGUAAUGUCUGGGAAACUGCCUGAUGGAGGGGGAUCACUCCUGGAAACGGUAGCUAAUACCGCAUACCAUCAGAUGUGCCCAGAUGGGAUUAGCUAGUGGGUGGGGUAAUGGCUCACCUAGGCGACGAUCCCUAGCUGGGCUGAGAGGAGGACCAGCCACACGGGAAUGGAGACAAGUUCCAGACGACUACGGGAGGCAGCAGUGGGGAAUAGUGCACAAUGGGAGCAAGCCUGAUGCAGCCAUGCCGCGUGGGUGAAGAAGGCCUUCGGGUUGUAAAGCACUUUCAGCGAGGAGGCGUUACUCGCAGAAGAAGCACCGGCUAACUCCGUGCCAGCAGCCGCGGUAAUUC
rnacentral:rRNA from 1 species